rnacentral:rRNA from 1 species
UCAAGCUAUAAAGAGCGUAGGGAGAAUGACUUGGCAUCAGGAGCCGAAGAAGGACGUGACAAGCUGCGAAAAGCUGCGGUUAGGAGCAAAUAUCCAUAGACCCGCAGAUAUCCGAAUGGGGAAACCCGGUACGGCAAUACCGUAUCACUGCAUGGUAAAUACAUAGCCAUGUGGAGGAAACCCUCUGAACUGAAACAUCUAAGUAGGAGGAGGAAGAGAAAGAAACAUCGAUUUCCUAAGUAGCGGCGAGCGAAAGGGAAAGAGGCCAAACCAGAGAUAGCAAUAUCUUUGGGGUUGCGGACUGCGUAAUUGAUUCAAUAUUUUUAGCAGAAGUGUAUGGGAAGACACACCAUAGUAGGUAAUAGUCCUGUAAGCGAAAAGGAUAUUGACAAGGCAGGAUCCAGAGUACCACCGGACACGAGGAACCCGGUGGGAAGCCGGGGGGACCACCCCCCAAGCCUAAAUACUACCUGAUGACCGAUAGUGAAAAGUACAGUGAUGGAAAGUUGAAAAGAACCCCGGAAGGGGAGUGAAAAAGAAUCUGAAACCCUAUGUUUACAAGCUGCUAAAGCACUUUAUAUGUGCGAUAGCGUACUUUUUGUAGAACGGUCCGGCGAGUGUAUGUUGCAAGCGAGGUUAAGGUGUUAAGCACUGAAGCCGAAGGGAGACCGAGUGUGAAUAGCGCGUACAGUUUGCAGUAUACGACCCGAAACCGGGUGACCUAACCAUGGACAGGUUGAAGUGGAAGUAAAAUUCCAUGGAGGACCGAACCCACGUCUGUUGAAAAAGGCGGGGAUGAGCUGUGGGUAGCGGUGAAAUUCCAAUCGAACUCGGAUAUAGCUGGUUCUCCUCGAAAUAGCUUUAGGGCUAGCCUCAGGAUAGUUUAGCGGAGGUAAAGCACUGAAUGGGCUAGGGGGCUUCACGGCUUACCGAACCCUAUCAAACUCUGAAUGCCGCAUAAAUGUUUCCUGGGAGUCAGACUGCGUGAGAUAAGUUUCGUAGUCAAAAGGGAAAGAGCCCAGACCUACAGCUAAGGUCCCUAAAUGAAUUUAAGUGGAAAAGGAUGUGCAGUUGCGUAGACAACUAGGACGUUGGCUUAGAAGCAGCCACUCAUUUAAAGAGUGCGUAAUAGCUCACUAGUCGAGUGAUUGUGCGCCGAAAAUGUAACGGGGCUAAAAUUCAUACCGAAGCUUAGGAAUGAUAGUAAUAUUGUUGGUAGAUGAGCGUUGUGUAAGUCUGCGAAGCUACACCGAAAGGAGUAGUGGAGAUAUCACAAGUGAGAAUGCCGGAAUGAGUAGCGAGAAUUAUGUGAGAAUCAUAAUGGUCGAAAAUCUAAGGUUUCUUGAGGAAGGUUCGUCCGCUCAAGGUAAGCCGGGAGCUAAGGCGAGGCCGAGAGGCGUAGUCGAUGCACAUACGGUAAAGAUUCCGUAGCCACCGAAGUCGUUAAAUACAGGGACACAGGAACAUAGCCUAACCCCACCGUUGGUUGAGUGGGGCGUAAGGGAGCGAAAAUUAGUAGCGAAGUAGGUGAUUGUACACUGGCGAGAAAAGCUGUAUGGAUUGACAAGGUGCCCGUACCGCAAACCGACACAGGUAGAUGAGGAGAGAAUCCUAAGACCAGCGGGAGAAGUGUUGUUAAGGAACUCGGCAAAAUGACCCCGUAACUUCGGGAUAAGGGGAGCCUACGCGAGUAGGCCGCAGAGAAUAGUCUCAAGCGACUGUUUAGCAAAAACACAGGUCUAUGCUAAAUCGAAAGAUGAUGUAUAUGGGCUGACGCCUGCCCGGUGCUGGAAGGUUAAGGGGAAGUGUUAGAGUAAUCGAAGCACUGAACUUAAGCCCCAGUAAACGGCGGCCGUAACUAUAACGGUCCUAAGGUAGCGAAAUUCCUUGUCAGGUAAGUUCUGACCCGCACGAAUGGCGUAACGACUUGAGAGCUGUCUCAACAACAUACCCGGCGAAAUUGAAGUACUGGUAAAGAUGCCAGUUACCCGUGAUAAGACGGAAAGACCCCAUGGAGCUUUACUGUAACUUGAUAUUGAAUUUUUGUAUUACAUGUAC